rnacentral:lncRNA from 1 species
CCUUCCCACACCUCACCCUUCCUCUGACAACCACAUGGAUUCUGACAUGGAUGGAUUUCAGCGUGCCAAGUCGGCCCCUCUGUUCUGCUGUAGGAACACAGGCUUCCUCUUCUUUGGCUGCACUUUAAGGGUCAAGGUCGGAGAGAAAUCCCACUUGGAAGCGGUCUGUGGUAGCAGCAUAAAAGUGGAAGAACCCAGAAAAUUCUGGACCAGAAUACAGUUAUUCACUCAUUCAACAAUCUUGACUAUCAACUAUAUGCUGGGUAAACUCAUAGGCUCUGGGGAUGUUUGAUACCAGCCCUACCCUCAGGAAGCUCAAAGUUGAGUGAGGGAGACAUGCAACUAUAUGGGCAACGAAAUACAAUGGUAAAAGUAGCAGGAUGGGGUGUUUUCUGUCGGGACCAUGCUGAAAGUGAUGGUGGCCUAUAAACACAGUGAAAGAUUCAGUCCUUUAUCCUUCAUUUUAUACAAACAUCAUCUCAGACUAACCCAAGAGUAAACAAGGGAAAGCUUAUCUUUAUAGACAUCUGUCUGUUCCCUCAGACCCUAAGUGUACCCCCACUGAGGUUGGAAGAGAGAACCACAUUGGCUGACAAUGCCUUGUGAUUAGCCCAGACGAGGUCGAGGUGUCCCCAAGCUCACCUGCCCUCCCCCUCUGCUGCCAUUCUCAGGUGGCCCCAUUCUCAGGCACUGUCACUAGCAUAGCUAUGAGUCAUUAUCAUGGGAUGUUUGUCUCUGCUCCCACCCUAGUCUUGCCAGAUCAAACAUACUGGCCACGGAGGCAAUUAGCCAUGGAGCCCUGAGCCUUGUUGACCUUGAAAACUUGGCACAGUCAGUGCAGCAUAUCCAUUAUUGAUUUAUAGGCUGUGUACCACGCAAUUGGCUGGGCUCCAUGCUGGGGCCCAGGUCCCUACUCCUCUCCCCCUGUCCCUCUUUGUUCCCAGCAGUGCUUAUCCAGGUGACAGCUUUCUUGGUCCAGGUGAUCUACCUUUGCGCAAUCCUCUUAACUUAUUUUAAACAUUUAUUUGAUGGCUGCUCUUAGCCAUACUUAGCCAUAUUUAACCAAAUGCUCUUCACAGCAGAAUGCAGAGCUGGGGGUGCAUAGGUGGCUCAGUCAGUUAAGCAUCCGAAUCAGGUCAUGGUCUCAGGGAGGUGGGAUGAAGCUCCGAGUUGGGCUCUGGGCCGGACAUGGAGCCUGCUUGGGAUUUUUUCUUUCUCUUCUCCCUCUGCCCCUCCUACCUGCUCUCUCUCUCUCUGAAAAAUAAGUAAAUAAAUGAAUAAAUGGCAUAUUCA